GACGAACGCUGGCGGCGUGCUUAACACAUGCAAGUCGAACGGAAAGGCCCUGCUUUUGUGGGGUGCUCGAGUGGCGAACGGGUGAGUAACACGUGAGUAACCUGCCCUUGACUGUGGGAUAACUUCAGGAAACUGGGGCUAAUACCGGAUAGGAGCUCCUGCUGCAUGGUGGGGGUGGGAUAGUUUCGGCGGUUGGGGAUGGACUCGCCGCUUAUCAGCUUGUUGGUUGGGUAGUGGCUUACCAAGGCUUGGACGGGUAGCCGGCCUGAGAGGGUGACCGGCCCAGCUGGAACUGGGCUACGGCCCAGACUCCUCCGGGACGCAGCAGUGGGGAAUGUUGCACAAUGGGCGGAAGCCUAAUGCAGCAAAGCAGCGUGCGGGAUGAGGUCAUUCGGUUCGUAAUCUGAUUUCGCCUGUGACGAAGCGUGAGUGACGGUAAUGGGUAAAGAAGCACCGGCUAACUCCGUG
rnacentral:rRNA from 1 species